rnacentral:tmRNA from 1 species
GGGGAUGAUCGGCUUAGACGAUUCAUCUAUCACAUAAACUGCAAGUGGAGCCGAGUAUCUCUUUAAACUUCUCACCAACGAAAUAAGUGCAAACUUAAAUCGUCAACCAGCCCUGGCAUACGCCUAAGGACUGCAUCGCUUCCCGAUCGCUCGGGUAGGGAGUCGCGGUGUCAUAAUCCGAGCUCACGCUGACCCUUUUGGUUAGAAAGAGUCCGCGAACAUCCAAUUCUAACCGGACGUUGAGUUUUUUGUUCGGCCUUCAGCUCAUCGUCUAAAACAGACCGAACUAAGCUUGUAGUAAGUUUUUGUGAACGUGAAUCACACGCGGGUUCGAUUCCCGCCAUCUCCACAA